rnacentral:rRNA from 1 species
CAGUCGUACGAGGGUUUUUAACUUUAGUGGCGGACGGGUGAGUAACACGUGAGAAUUUGCCUUUAGGAGGGGGAUAACAAUCGGAAACGAAUGCUAAUACCCCAUAUGCUUUUGAGUGAAAUGGAUUUAUCCGCCUAAAGAGAAGCUCGCGGCUGAUUAGCUUGUUGGUAAGGUAAGAGCUUACCAAGGCGACGAUCAGUAUCUGGUUUGAGAGGACGAUCAGACACACUGGAACUGAGACACGGUCCAGACUCCUACGGGAGGCAGCAGUGGGGAAUUUUCCGCAAUGGGCGAAAGCCUGACGGAGCAAUACCGCGUGAGGGAAGACUGCCUAUGGGUUGUAAACCUCUUUUUUCAGGGAGGAAUAAAUUGACGUGUACCUGAAGAAUAAGCAUCGGCUAACUCCGUGCCAGCAGCCGCGGUAAGACGGAGGAUGCAAGUGUUAUCCGGAAUCACUGGGCGUAAAGCGUCUGUAGGUGGUUUAAUAAGUCAACUGUUAAAUCUUGAGGCUCAACUUCAAAAUCGCAGUCGAAACUAUUAGACUAGAGUAUAGUAGAGGUAAAGGGAAUUUCCAGUGGAGCGGUGAAAUGCGUAGAUAUUGGAAAGAACACCAAUGGCGAAAGCACUUUACUGGGCUAUUACUAACACUCAGAGACGAAAGCUAGGGUAGCAAAUGGGAUUAGAUACCCCAGUAGUCCUAGCCGUAAACUAUGGAUACUAGAUGUUGAACAGAUCGACCUGUGCAGUAUCAAAGCUAACGCGUUAAGUAUCCCGCCUGGGAAGUAUGCUCGCAAGAGUGAAACUCAAAGGAAUUGACGG